GGGUCACUACCCACUUUACGCAGGGCCUGGGGACACUGGUCCCCCACCUCUUCAGCACGAUGUUGCCCUGACCCUAGAACCUUGGUCCCGGUGGCCAGGCCCCAGGGGUCAGGCUCUUAGGGUCCCCUUGGGGAACUGGUCCCAGCCUCAUGCUUUGCCCAGACCAUACAAUGUGGAUUGUCCUAUGCCUGCUGGACUUCAGGCCUGUUUUUCUCCAUUUGGUGUGGAGAUUUGCUAAAUGCCUCAUUUAGAGUGAGCUCAUUUUAUGCCCUUGUCAGUCUUUUCACGAAAAUAUUUCGAUAAGAAAAGAAUGCUAUUCCAGCCCACGUGUCCUGAUUUUUGUUUGGAAAACAAUCCCUGUGCCCAUAAAAAGGAAAGGACUGCUGAGUCCAGUCCCCUCCUGGCCCUGUCCCUAAUGGGGCCCAGGCUGUGCCAGGGAUCCAGAGGCUGAAGCACAUUGCAACAAGAACACUGGCCCCCGCUUGGAACCCAGAGCCCAGUCUGGGUCCGGCAAGGGGCUGGCCCUGUGCCCACCUAACUGAGCCAUUUCCUCCCAGACUGGGGCACAUUUCCUGUCCGGAGGGAACAGAGCACAUUCCCAGGCGGGGUGGACUGGGUCCUGCAUUGGGGGAGGGGAUUCCGUAGGCAUUUUCCCAACCCCAGUGACCACGCCCUGGGAUGAGAGGCCUGUCCUGGUGGUAGGGUUAGGAGCACGGUUCAAAGGGUGCUGCUGGAGCUGUCCAAUGGGUGGCCAUUCUUGGAAUGAGCUGAAACCACCCGGCCCUGCCUUGGGUGCGGCCUGCUCUGUAUCCCAGGUGUGCUGAGCGUAGAGCGAGAAGGAUCCUUGGGCCACCCCUGCCUGCUCCCAAGCAGCAGUCUUCGGAGGAGGAGAUCAGGACCCAGACGCACAUCGAGGACCACCAUGUGCAGACACAGAGAGAAGGCAGCAUCUGCAAGCCAUGGACAGAGGUCUCAGAAGAAACCAGCCCGCCGACACCUCGGUCUCCAGCAUCCAGCCUCCAGAACUGUGAGAAAAUACAUUUCUAUUGUCUAA